rnacentral:misc_RNA from 1 species
GGAGGUUUGCCAGGUGCUGCAAUGUGUUUGCUCUUCGAAGUAUCAGUGGCAGUGGAUUGUCUUAGUAAUUUCAGACCACCAUUAGCAGCCUUCUCCUUUCGAAAAAGUUCUAUCCAUACAUUGACAAGCUGACUUGCUACAGCACGUAUGUCACGGCUAGUAUGCACACAGACUUUUUCUUUAACCGUUUUCCCAAUACCUGACAGCCGGACUGCAAGCAAAUCAGUUGAAACAAGUACUAGUAAACGAACACAAUGGCGCAAGAGUUGGGUCCCAUCCUUUCCCAUGGAGUCCAGCAUCCACAAAUUAAGAGUGCUAAGCCCUUCUUUAGUUCCAGCAAAAGAUCUCAAAACUUCUACCGGAAGUUUCAACAAUUCUUUUGCGAGAUGC